CACAGAACGGAUUGGCUCUGAGACAAAUGCAGGCGUCGCGUUUAAUUGAUUGUGGCAGACACGGAACAGACUGGUUUCGAGACAAGUGGUAACAAGACUCGAUCAAAUGCGAAAUUGUUACGUGAGUACCGUAUUAAAAAAUAAUAAGAAAAAAGGGGAAAAGAAAAGUAGCUAGAAAUGACGACGGAC